rnacentral:rRNA from 1 species
AGGGCACCACCAGGAGUGGAGCCUGCGGCUUAAUUUGACUCAACACGGGAAAUCUCACCAGGCCCGGACACUGGAAGGAUUGACAGAUUGAGAGCUCUUUCUUGAUUCGGUGGGUGGUGGUGCAUGGCCGUUCUUAGUUGGUGGAGCGAUUUGUCUGGUUAAUUCCGAUAACGAACGAGACUCUGGCCUACUAAAUAGACGAAAUAUCCCUUUGUGGGUAUAUUGUUGCUUCUUAGAGGGACAGGCAGCGUUUAGCUGCACGAGAUUGAGCAAUAACAGGUCUGUGAUGCCCUUAGAUGUUCUGGGCUGCACGCGCGCUACACUGAAAGAAUCAGCGUGUGUUCCCUUACCGAAAGGUAUGGGAAAUCCGUUGAACCUCUUUCGUGAUGGGGAUUGGGGAUUGCAAUUAUUCCCCAUGAACGAGGAAUUCCCAGUAGGCGCGAGUCAUAAGCUCGCGUCGAUUACGUCCCUGCCCUUUGUACACACCGCCCGUCGCUACUACCGAUUGAAUGAUUUAGU